GUUUCUGUAGUGUAGUGGUUAUCACGUUCGCCUCACACGCGAAAGGUUCCUGGUUCGAAACCAGGCAGAAACA
rnacentral:tRNA from 1 species